UGGAUCAGUGAUGAUCCCUCUUGUUGUAUGAGUUAUGGAUCAUGACUACAGGUCUGGAAGUCUGAGAUCCGC